AGCACUUAAACCUUUUAUUUUUUGGCCUACAAUGGGUACAAAGUUAAAAUAAGUGCUUAUAUCAAAACCUUUUCUUGCAACCCACAACUCAUUGUGUAGUAUGAGUUGUGUUACUUAUGGGAAGGGAUACU
rnacentral:snoRNA from 1 species